CUAAGCUUUUCCUUGAAGAAAUUUCUCGAGAUAUUCAGAAGGCAGAACCAGAAUGGAGAAUCAUUUUACUAAGAUACUUCAAUCCUGUAGGAGCACAUGAGAGUGGUAAACUUGGUGAAGAUCCCAAGGGUAUCCCAAACAAUCUCAUGCCUUACAUACAACAAGUGGCUGUUGGCAGAUUGCCUGAACUCAAUGUAUAUGGGNNNNNNNNNAAGGAUGGUAGUGCGAUCCGAGACUACAUCCAUGUUAUGGACUUAGCAGAUGGCCACAUUGCUGCUCUUCGGAAGCUUUUUACAACAGAGAAAAUAGGUUGUGUAGCCUACAACUUGGGUACAGGACGUGGAACAUCAGUGCUUGAAAUGGUUGCUGCAUUUGAAAAAGCUUCUGGCAAGAAAAUUCCUAUCAAGUUGUGUCCAAGAAGGCCUGGAGAUGCUACAGCUGUUUAUGCUUCCACAGAUAAAGCUGCCAAAGAACUAAAUUGGAGGGCUAAAUAUGGCAUUGAGGAGAUGUGCAGAGACCAAUGGAAAUGGGCUAGCAACAAUCCAU
rnacentral:misc_RNA from 1 species